UACGAAGGGUGCAAGCGUUACUCGGAAUUACUGGGCGUAAAGCGUGCGUAGGCGGUUUGUUAAGUCCGUUGUGAAAGCCCUGGGCUCAACCUGGGAAUUGCAGUGGAUACUGGCGAGCUAGAGUGCGGUAGAGGAUGGUGGAAUUCCCGGUGUAGCGGUGAAAUGCGUAGAGAUCGGGAGGAACACCCGUGGCGAAGGCGACCAUCUGGACCAGCACUGACGCUGAGGCACGAAAGCGUGGGGAGCAAACAGG
rnacentral:rRNA from 1 species